UUUAGCAAAAGAUGAUAUUUGCUCAAAGAGCUUUGUGCAUUCAUCCUAAAAAAGAAUCACUCCUCAUGUAUUAUUGGACCCUCACAAUCUUUUGCAAGCUCCCUAACUUUUGUUUUGUAGUAUGCAAAAGGGAUUGGACGGUG